GGGCUUCCAAUCCUACACCCAAACCCAAACCCAAUUCCCAACAAACAUCCAGUUUCUGUUUUCAUUAUCCUCUUCUCCGAUAAUCCAUCCACUCACCAGUCACCACCGCCUCAUUCCGUCGUCAUCGACGGCGUUUUAACGGAUAAAUCACCACCGGAGCACUACAACCGUUCAUAUCCAUACAUUCAAUGGCGCAAACAUGUGUUCCGUCACUCAGAUUUAACUCUGUCGUCUUCUCUUCCACAAAAAGCCCUAGCUCCGUCUCCGAACAGAAUCUUCUUCCUCUUCGUUUCAGGAAAGUUAGUAAACCGAAAAGUAAUCAGAAAACUCUUCGGACUUCUACAGUGAAAGCUGUUUAUUCCGGUAAUUCUUCAACACUUGACAAAAAAUCAAGGCAGGGACUAUGGUCCAUUAGGGAGGAUAUACAAGUUCCAUCAUCACCCUACUUCCCAACGUAUGCACAAGGUCAAGGGCCACCGCCAAUGAUGCAAGAACGGUUCCAGAGUGUCAUCAGUCAGCUUUUUCAAUAUAGAAUAAUACGUUGUGGUGGAGCGGUUGAUGAUGACAUGGCAAACAUUAUAGUUGCUCAGCUUCUUUAUCUUGAUGCUGUCGAUCCUACCAAGGAUAUUGUGAUGUAUGUGAACUCUCCUGGUGGUUCAGUUACGGCUGGUAUGGCCGUUUUUGACACCAUGAAGCAUAUCCGCCCUGAUGUUUCCACUGUAUGUGUCGGACUUGCUGCUAGUAUGGGUGCUUUCCUCCUCGGUGCCGGCACGAAAGGAAAAAGAUAUAGCCUUCCAAAUUCAAGGAUCAUGAUUCAUCAACCUCUUGGUGGGGCCCAAGGUGGACAAACUGAUUUAGAUAUUCAGGCAAAUGAAAUGUUGCAUCACAAGGCGAAUUUGAACGGAUAUUUAGCAUACCACACGGGUCAAAGCCUUGACCGAAUUAACCAAGACACGGAUCGUGAUUAUUUCAUGAGUGCGAAAGAAGCGAAAGAAUACGGGCUUAUAGAUGGUGUUAUUAUGAAUCCACUCAAAGCUCUCCAACCACUGGCUGCUGCCUAGAUCGAAAGAAGAAGGAGCUAGUUCCGGAUCACAAACAAAGGCACAAGAUCGAGGUAAAGCACAAGUUUAAUCGUCGUUGCGUCACUCGGAUAUGAACACACCUUGAUCACCCGUGAUGCGCUUCCGCCUCUUUUGUAGUAAUUUCAAAUGUUAAUAGUUUUGUAAUGUCUAGUUGUGUUGAAGUCUUUAAACUUUAACUAGUCGUUUGCAAGUAUUUAGUACUUAGAACUCAAUGUUUGAAAUGGUGGUUGAAAAUGUUAUGUUCUUUUGGUGUUUUAGGGAAAGUGUCGUAGUUCGAGUAUUUUGAUAAAGUAUAAACAGGGAAUUUGUCCAAGUUACGAAUGGGUCAUGCCCAAAUUUUAAAUUUUUAGGUGAUUAAACUAUGUGUCGUUCUUGUGACUUUCAA